UCUUGGUCAUUUAGAGGAAGUAAAAGUCGUAACAAGGUUUCCGUAGGUGAACCUGCGGAAGGAUCAUUAAAAAAAGAGAAACGUCCCGUUUUUUUCAUAAGAAUGGGUUCUAUUCCCUUAAACCGUGUCUACAUACCUUUGUUGCUUUGGCAGGCCGCCUUCGGGCGUCGGCUCCGGCUGAUAGUGCCUGCCAGAGGACCCAAACUCUAUGUUUAGUGAUGUCUGAGUACUAUAUAAUAUUUAAAACUUUCAACAACGGAUCUCUUGGUUCUGGCAUCGAUGAAGAACGCAGCGAAAUGCGAUAAGUAAUGUGAAUUGCAGAAUUCAGUGAAUCAUCGAAUCUUUGAACGCACAUUGCGCCCCUUGGUAUUCCGAGGGGCAUGCCUGUUCGAGCGUCAUUAUAACCACUCAAGCCUGGCUUGGUAUUGGGGCUUUCGCGUGUUCGCGGCCCUUAAAAUCAGUGGCGGUGCCGUCUGGCUCUAAGCGUAGUAAUUUCUCUCGCUAUAGGGUUCCGGUGGUUACUUGCCAAAACCCCCCAUUUUUUCUAGGUUGACCUCGGAUCAGGUAGGGAUACCCGCUGAACUUAAGCAUAUCAAUAAGCGGAGGAA
rnacentral:rRNA from 1 species